CUCUCUGUCAUGGUGGCCUUGGCACUGGCUUUUGGCAGUGCUUGUAGCAUAGAAGGUGGUUUUCGUAGAAGCUUACGUUUCGUUCCAACCGGCCCAAGCCAACAACAAUCACCAGAUGCUCCACCCAUGUUCACGGACUUGCAGACCAGAACAAGUAGUCGUGGUUUCAAGAUGGAAGAUAGUUUUGGUAGAAACUUACGUC
rnacentral:lncRNA from 1 species